rnacentral:snRNA from 1 species
AUACUUACCUGGCAAGGGGAGAUACCAUGAUCACGAAGGUGGUUUUCCCAAGGGCGAGGCUCAUCCAAUUGCACUCCGGAAUGUGCUGACCCCUUGCCGAAUUCCCCAAAUGUGGGAAAACUCCGAACUGCAUAAAUUUAAGGUAAGUGGGGGGGCUGCCGUUCCGCGCCUCCUCUCC